rnacentral:tRNA from 1 species
CAGGGAGACAACAAAAUGUUUAAUAUUAUUAUUUUGUCACCUUAGGUCGAUCGGUAUCUCACGUUCUUAACUUAUUAAGAAUUUUAUUUCCUAAGUUUUUCUAGGUCACACCCAUUAUUUUUCCUGGGCCAUUAGCUCAGGUGGUUAGAGCGCACCCCUGAUAAGGGUGAGGUCCCUGGUUCAAGUCCAGGAUGGCCCAUAUCUCUAUGUUGGGGGUAUAGCUCAGUUGGUAGAGCGCCUGCUUUGCAAGCAGGAUGUCAGCGGUUCGAGUCCGCUUACCUCCACUGAUUACCACCUCUUGCAUAAUCUUUGUAAAGGAAAUGUUUUGAGUAGUGAUCAUCUUCUGAACGAAUCUAGCUUCCUAAUGAAAUCAUUAAGAUGCUGGACUCAUUGAAUUAAUUUCAUUGUUUUCAGAGAACCUUGACAACUGCAUAGAUUUUUUUAAAGACAAUAAGCAUCUUUGAUGAUGCAGAUUUAUUAUUUGUGCGAAUGCAUUAAAUAACAAUUCUAUUAAGCUGAUGCUUCAAUUUUGAAGUUAUU